rnacentral:rRNA from 1 species
AGCUAAUAGAACCCGGGUAGUCCACGCCCUAAACGAUGGAUGCUAGGCGUAGGAGGUAUCGACCCCUCCUGUGCCGCAGCUAAACGCACUAAGCAUCCCGCCUGGGGACGUACGGCCGCAAGGUUGAAACUCAAAUGAAUUGACGGGGACCCGGCACAAGCGGUGGAGCAUGUGGAUUAAUUCGAUACUAACCGAAGAACCUUACCCAGGUUUGACAUCAAGGGAAAGGACUGUGAAAGCAGUCCCCGACCCACAAGGUGGCCCGGAACGACAGAUGUUGCAUGGCUGUCGUCAGCUCGUGCCGUGAGGUGUACGGUUAAGUCCGCCAA